rnacentral:rRNA from 1 species
ACGCUCGACACCUACUGGAGGCAGCAGUGGGGGAUAUUGCACAAUGGGGGAAACCCUGAUGCAGCAACGCCGCGUGAGGGAAGACGGUUUUCGGAUUGUAAACCUCUGUCAUCGGUGACGAUAAUGACGGUAGCCGAUGAGGAAGCUCCGGCUAACUACGUGCCAGCAGCCGCGGUAAUCUGAGCGGGCUGGCAAGGC